CUCCGUGAGACGCACGCAAUUCAACCCAUUCACACGCCACACAACUUGCGCCGCUAUUUAACCAACCCAGUCUCACCAAUAUUAAGGUGACCAGACGUCCCCGAUUUCCGGGGACAGUCCCCGUUUUCGGUGAUCUGUCCCCGGUCAAAGCUGUCCCCGGAAAUGUCCCCGAUUUUGACGGUGAAUGGGGGAAAAAUGCGCGCAGACUCAAACACCAGUUAUUACGGUAGUAAUUUAACGCAGCACCAGAGAAGACGUCGUAUGACGUACAGACGUUAUCAGGACGUACGACCAGACGCAGCAGCAUCAACAACAACAAUCUAGAGGCGGCAAAAAGGAAAAAGAGAAGAUCAGCGGUCUCAUAAAUGUCUAAGCAGAGGGCAGUUGCUGUGGGCAAGGAACUCCAAAACCUUUUGACAACACUGCAGACAACUCAAGUGGAGAUGAAGCAGUGGGUGAAGGAGGUUGAGGAGUGGGCUGCAUCCAGUCCAAAGUCCACCAAUUGCCAGGACCAACAGGGGCUGCAGCCGGUCAUGGAGGGUCUUGUCCUAAAGAUCAAGCAGCGUAAAGCUGAGCUGUACAGAGACAUAGACAAUAAUAAAGAUCGCAGGCCAAAGCGGGACCUUAUUACGAAGGAGAAACGUAAACUGGAGGAGUCAAUUGCUUCGUACAACAGUCUUGUACCUGACACGGCGGCUGUUGAUACAGCAGAUGCCAUUCUGAGUCAGGAAUUCCCCAUUUGGCCAUGGGAUUCUGCAUCCACAAUCCCCCUCGAGACCAAGAAGGUGGUUUUUGACAAAACCAUGCUGCUGUCUCGAGUCCAGGAAGAGGAUGGGAUUCUCAUUAAGGAGAUGAGGAACCACUGCCGCUACCUGACUGGAUCCUCAAAAGCGGUCAAAAGAGAGAUCCAUCAGAUUGAGGAGGACCUGUCUAAACACAGCUCUCCUCCUCCUAACAUGUCCUUGCAGGCCUAUGAGGGGCUGAAGUGCUUGUUGCUACAAAAGCUACAGGGGUUGACCAAACAGAUGGAUGAGGCCUUCACUACAUACAGGAAUGUAUUGACAGACCCCACUGCGCUUCGGGAAGAGAUUGAAGGCAUAGAGGAGAUGGAGGAGGAGGAGGAGGGGAGAUUCCAUUGUCCCUUGACGAGACUGACUCUGACAAUGCUGAAUAACGCGUCUCUGCAGGAGGAGAUUGAGCGGAAGGAGGGAUAAUUUGACAAGAUAUGUUGUAAAAAUGUUUAACUGGC
ensembl:lncRNA